GCUAGUAAUCGCGAAUCAGCAUGUCGCGGUGAAUACGUUCCCGGGUCUUGUACACACCGCCCGUCACACCAUGGGAGUUGGAAAUGCCCGAAGUCAGUGACCCAACCGAAAGGAGGGAGCUGCCGAAGGCAGGUUCGAUAACUGGGGUGAAGUCGUAACAAGGUAGC
rnacentral:rRNA from 1 species